rnacentral:snRNA from 1 species
AGCUUUGCACAGUGGCACUAUUGCAGCCAAUGAAGUUUAUCUGAGGCAUGAUUAAUACUAAUUAAUAUCUGAGAUCCCUUUUAUAACCCACAAAUGCCCUGUUUCAUGAUUUUUUCAUGCACAGUUGAAAAUAAG